rnacentral:rRNA from 1 species
UGUUACCUACGGGGCGCAGCAGUAGGGAAUAUUGCUCAAUGGGGGAAACCCUGAAGCAGCAACGCCGCGUGGAGGAUGAAGGUUCUCGGAUUGUAAACUCCUUUUGUUAGAGAAGAUAAUGACGGUAUCUAACGAAUAAGCACCGGCUAACUCCGUGCCAGCAGCCGCGGUAAUACGGAGGGUGCAAGCGUUACUCGGAAUCACUGGGCGUAAAGAGCGCGUAGGCGGGAUAGCAAGUCAGAUGUGAAAUCCUAUGGUUUAACCAUAGAACUGCACUUGAAACUGUUAUUCUAGAGUAUGGGAGG